AUUGAACGCUGGCGGCAGGCCUAACACAUGCAAGUCGCACGAGUGGCGGACGGGUGAGUAAUGUCUGGGAAACUGCCUGAUGGAGGGGGAUAACUACUGGAAACGGUAGCUAAUACCGCAUACCAUCGGAUGUGCCCAGAUGGGAUUAGCUAGUAGGUGGGGUAAAGGCUCACCUGGGCGACGAUCCCUAGCUGGUCUGAGAGGAUGACCGGACAAACGGGAACGGGGACACGGUCCAGACUCCUACGGGAGGAAGCAGUGGGGAAUAUUGGACAAUGUGCGAAAGCCUGAUGCAGCCAUGCGGCGUGUAGGAAGCAGGCCUUCGGGUUGUAAAUUACUUUCAGCGGGGAGGCGUUACCCGCAGAAGAAGCACCGGCUAACUCCGUGCCAGCGGCCGCGGUAAUUC
rnacentral:rRNA from 1 species